rnacentral:rRNA from 1 species
UACAGAGGGUGCGAGCGUUAAUCGGAAUUACUGGGCGUAAAGCGUGCGUAGACGGUUAUUUAAGUCGGGUGUGAAAGCCCCGGGCUCAACCUGGGAACUGCAUUCGAGACUGAAUAGCUAGGGUACGGUAGAGGGAAGCGGAAUUUCCGGUGUAGCGGUGAAAUGCGUAGAUAUCGGAAGGAACAUCAGUGGCGAAAGCGGCUUCCUGGACCAGUACCGACGUUCAGGCACGAAAGCGUGGGGAGCAAACAGG